GACGAACGCUGGCGGCGUGCCUAAUACAUGCAAGUUGAGCGCUGAAGGUUGGUACUUGUACCAACUGGAUGAGCAGCGAACGGGUGAGUACCGCGUGGGGAAUCUGCCUUUGAGCGGGGGACAACAUUUGGAGACGAAUGCUAAUACCGCAUAAAAACUUUAAACACAAGUUUUAAGUUUGAAAGAUGCAAUUGCAUCACUCAAAGAUGAUCCCGCGUUGUAUUAGCUAGUUGGUGAGGUAAAGGCUCACCAAGGCGAUGAUACAUAGCCGACCUGAGAGGGUGAUCGGCCACAUUGGGACUGAGACACGGCCCAAACUCCUACGGGAGGCAGCAGUAGGGAAUCUUCGGCAAUGGACGAAAGUCUGACCGAGCAACGCCGCGUGAGUGAAGAAGGGUUUCGGAUCGUAAAACUCUGUUGGUAGAGAAGAACGUUGGUGAGAGUGGAAAGCUCAUCAAGUGACGGUAACUACCCAGAAAGGGACGGCUAACUACGUG
rnacentral:rRNA from 1 species